rnacentral:rRNA from 1 species
UACGAAGGGGGCUAGCGUUGCUCGGAAUCACUGGGCGUAAAGGGUGCGUAGGUGGAUUUUUAAGUCAGGGGUGAAAUCCUGGAGCUCAACUCCAGAACUGCCUUUGAUACUGGGAAUCUUGAGUUCGGGAGAGGUGAGUGGAACUGCGAGUGUAGAGGUCAAAUUCGUAGAUAUUCGCAAGAACACCAGUGGCGAAGGCGGCUCACUGGCCCGAUACUGACACUGAGGCACGAAAGCGUGGGGAGCAAACAGG